AGUUUAAUCUUGAUAGCGUUUGUAUGCUUUGUCCUGAAGGGAACUACUCAGCAGCAUAUAUACACACCUGCGUGACGUGAAACCCCCUGGAGCCAGCCACCUAUGGACCAGAGCAAGGGAUUCUUCAAGAUGAGUCAGAACAAGGCCUUCAUAUCAUAGAUCUUGCCAAGGUUUGAUGAGUAUGGUGACAGGCAAAUAGUGGCUGGUACUCACUUCCUUCCGUCUGCCAUUCUGGCUUUGAUGCCGAGGUACUUGGUCUGUGGCACCCAAGAGCUUCUGGCUGUGGUAAU
rnacentral:lncRNA from 1 species